rnacentral:rRNA from 1 species
UACGUAGGGUGCAAGCGUUGUCCGGAAUUAUUGGGCGUAAAGAGCUCGUAGGCGGUCUGUCACGUCGGCUGUGAAAACCUGGGGCUCAACCCCGGGCCUGCAGCCGAUACGGGCAGACUAGAAUUCGGUAGGGGAGACUGGAAUUCCUGGUGUAGCGGUGAAAUGCGCAGAUAUCAGGAGGAACACCGGUGGCGAAGGCGGCUAUCUGGACGGUUUCUGACGCUAAGACGCGAAAGCGUGGGGAGCAAACAGG